UCAAUAAGCGGAGGAAAAGAAACUAACAAGGAUUCCCUUAGUAACUGCGAGUGAAGAGGGAAAAGCUCAAAUUUAAAAUCUGGCAGUGUUUCACUGUCCGAGUUGUAACCUAGAGAAGUGUAACCUGUGCUGGACCGUGUACAAGUCUCCUGGAAUGGAGCAUCACAGAGGGUGAGAAUCCCGUCUUUGACAUGGACUACCAGUGCAUUGCGGUUGCGCUCUCAACGAGUCGAGUUGUUUGGGAAUGCAGCUCUAAAUGGGUGGUAAAUUCCAUCUAAAGCUAAAUAUUGGCGAGAGACCGAUAGCGAACAAGUACCGUGAGGGAAAGAUGAAAAGAACUUUGGAAAGAGAGUUAAACAGUAUGUGAAAUUGUUGAAAGGGAAACGUUUGAAGUCAGUCGCGUUGGUUGGGGAUCAGCCUGACAUUGUUGGGUGUAUUUCCUGGUCGACGGGCCAACAUCAGUUUUGACUGCCAGAAAAAGGCCAAAGGAAUGUGGCACCUUUGGGUGUGUUAUAGCCCUUGGUCGUAUAUGGUGGUUGGGACUGAGGAAAGCAGCGUGCCGAAAGGCCGGGUUUCGACCACGUUCACGCUGAGGAUGUUGGCAUAAUGGCUUUAAGCGACCCGUCUUGAAACACG
rnacentral:rRNA from 1 species